rnacentral:rRNA from 1 species
UUUUUGGAGAGUUUGAUCUUGGCUCAGGACGAACGCUGGCGGCGUGCCUAAUACAUGCAAGUCGAGCGCAUGAAACUUUUCUGACCCCUCCGGGGUGACGAAGAGUGGAAUGAGCGGCGGACGGGUGAGUAACACGUGGGCAACCUGCCUGUAAGACUGGGAUAACUCGCGGAAACGCGAGCUAAUACCGGA